rnacentral:rRNA from 1 species
GGUGAAAAGCACCCCGGAAGGGGAGUGAAAUAGAACCUGAAACCGUGUGCUUACAAGUAGUCAGAGCCCGUUAAUGGGUGAUGGCGUGCCUUUUGUAGAAUGAACCGGCGAGUUACGAUUUGAUGCAAGGUUAAGCAGUAAAUGUGGAGCCGUAGCGAAAGCGAGUCUGAAUAGGGCGUUUAGUAUUUGGUCGUAGACCCGAAACCAGGUGAUCUACCCUUGGUCAGGUUGAAGUUCAGGUAACACUGAAUGGAGGACCGAACCGACUUACGUUGAAAAGUGAGCGGAUGAACUGAGGGUAGCGGAGAAAUUCCAAUCGAACCUGGAGAUAGCUGGUUCUCUCCGAAAUAGCUUUAGGGCUAGCCUCAAGUGAUGAUUAUUGGAGGUAGAGCACUGUUUGGACGAGGGGCCCCUCUCGGGUUACUGAAUUCAGACAAACUCCGAAUGCCAAUUAAUUUAACUUGGGAGUCAGAACAUGGGUGAUAAGGUCCGUGUUCGAAAGGGAAACAGCCCAGACCACCAGCUAAGGUCCCAAAAUAUAUGUUAAGUGGAAAAGGAUGUGGCGUUGCCCAGACAACUAGGAUGUUGGCUUAGAAGCAGCCAUCAUUUAAAGAGUGCGUAAUAGCUCACUAGUCGAGUGACACUGCGCCGAAAAUGUACCGGGGCUAAACAUAUUACCGAAGCUGUGGAUUGUCCUUUGGACAAUGGUAGGAGAGCGUUCUAAGGGCGUUGAAGCAUGAUCGUAAGGACAUGUGGAGCGCUUAGAAGUGAGAAUGCCGGUGUGAGUAGCGAAAGACGGGUGAGAAUCCCGUCCACCGAUUGACUAAGGUUUCCAGAGGAAGGCUCGUCCGCUCUGGGUUAGUCGGGUCCUAAGCUGAGGCCGACAGGCGUAGGCGAUGGAUAACAGGUUGAUAUUCCUGUACCACCUAUAAUCGUUUUAAUCGA